GUAGACCUGGUGUCCCGUUCCCACUGGGGAGACCUGGUGGCCAGUUCCUAUUGGGUAGACCCGGUGACCCAUUCCCACUGGGUAGACCUGGUGGCCAGUUCCCACUGGG